rnacentral:rRNA from 1 species
UACGUAGGGUGCAAGCGUUGUCCGGAAUUAUUGGGCGUAAAGAGCUCGUAGGCGGCUUGUCGCGUCGGCUGUGAAAACCUGGGGCUCAACCCCGGGACUGCGUCCGAUACUUCCGGGCUGGAGGUAGGUAGGGGAGAUCGGAAUUCCUGGUGUAGCGGUGAAAUGCGCAGAUAUCAGGAGGAACACCGGUGGCGAAGGCGGAUCUCUGGGCCUUACCUGACGCUGAGGCGCGAAAGCUAGGGGAGCGAACAGG